rnacentral:misc_RNA from 1 species
AAGUCGUAACAAGGUUUCCGUAGGUGAACCUGCGGAAGGAUCAUUAACACUUUUUUCACAUUUUGUCAAGUAUAUUUUUUUAUAUACUUGACAAUCUUACUACCCACCUUUUAGAUGAAUUUUUAUGUGGAUUGGGAAUGGAAUAUUCUUCAUAUUUCAUUUUCCAUAUCCACAUCAUUUUAUCUCUUUUUAACUUUUUUAACCCCAAACACCAUUAUUGCUAUGCAUUGACUGAAAUGUAUUUGUGUCUUUUCUUUUCACAAAGAAAACACAAAUCCAAACCAAAAAAGCUAAGAAACAACUCUUAACAACGGAUAUCUUGGCUCUC